rnacentral:tRNA from 1 species
GCGGGUGUCGCUUAACAGGAUAAAGUGCUAGCCUCCUAAGCUUGUGCUGUGGGUUCGAGUCCCGCCACUCGCACCA